AGAAGAGAGAGAAAGAGAGGGGGUGGAGAUUGGAGGAAGAGGUGGAGGCUGGAGGUGGCUCCAGUUCAGAGCUAGUGGAGAGUCCGUGUCAGGACUUCGCAAUCCCCAGUCACACACUGAGAGAGAGGUGCAUGGACGAAAGGGAGCUGGCAAUACAAUUCACUGGGAUUUUUCUUUUUUUCUUUUAAGGGCGAUUUCACUCGCCCCCCGCCCUCCUUUCCCUCUCUGUCUCUCUUCCUUUCUCUCCCCAUUGCUUUGAGCGACCAGCUUUGCUCUUGAUCUCCGUUCACGGGGCAGCGGCGGCGGCGGCAGCAGCAGCAGCGUCGAGGAGAGAGGAGAAGCAAGGAGGAGAGGAAAAAAAGCGAAGCUUGAAGAAGGGCUGGAACUGGAUCCUGCCAGAGGCCAGGAUGCCAUCCAGGGAGAUGUAAAUGAGGCCGACGAGGACGACGGAGAGAAAGGGGGCUUUUCUUUCCGAUUUCCCCUCUCGCGUGCGUGUGCCUGUGCUUUGCAAUCGCAGCGCCUUCUCCCCACUUCGCCUCCCCGCCGAACAAUUGAGUUGAUUCCGGCUGCUCCUGUUGGCGUCGCCUUCUUUCCCCCCCUAUCCAUCCCAGUCGCCUAGAGAAAAGAGAGAGGACUCCAGGGCUGGUCACAUCCAAGACGGUGCUUGCACCUAGCGCUCUUUUGUUGUGGUGCUUUCAGAUCGACCAAAAUAAUUGUUUCGAUUUUCCUUUUGUUUUACCUCCCUCCUUCCUCGCUCUCCUACCCCCACCCCAAACAUUUAUUUAAAGGAGUGCGUGCGUGUUUUGGGGAAGGAGCCGCGCGCGUUGGGACCUGGAGUGUGUGGGGGGAAAUGUUGACUUAACCUCUCGCCGAGCCCCUUCGGCUGCCUGGGCUCUUCUUUUCUUUUUGCUUGGACGGAAGGGAGACGAGCAGCCUCCUGGUGUGCGUUUUGUCCCAGCCCAGCGAGCUGCGAAGCCAGCUGCUUUCCUCGCCUUUCUUCGCUUCUUCUACGUAGCCCAGCUCUUUUUCCUUGACUUGCCCGGCGAUCCUCCACCUCCUUCCCCUUCUGGCUUUUGUGUUUGCUGGCGCGCCUCCCCGGGCCAAAACAUCGCCUUUAAACAACAAACAACAGCAACCGCCACCUUGUGAUCAGAAAGGGGCUCACUCUGUACCCCCUUUCCCGGGGCACCCCCAGAUGCAAGAGGAAGCCCGGCCCGGCUUUGGCUGCAAACCCAAAGGUAAGCGUCUCUCUCCCUCCCUCCCUCCCUCUCGGUGUGUGCGGAUUCUUCGUGGGUGAGAUGCUUCUUUCCCACUUGCAGGACCUGUUCGCUUACUUCGAUCGCCCCCUUUUGCAAGCCAUUUGCAUGCAAGGGGACUGCUUACUUCGCAGGAGAGGGGGUGUGUGUGUAUGUGCGUCGGGGCGGGGGGGUGCGGGAGAAAUGCACUGUAGAGCCUCAGUCCUAACCCCCUUUUCCCGCUAUGGGGAGGGAAUUCCUCCAAUAAAUCUGUAUCAAACUGUUUUCCGUCCUAUGGAUCCUGAUAGACCGCCCCCCCCCAAAAAAAUCUUCCAUCACCUGGAAGAAAGAGAGCUGUGCGCGCCGCAUAAACCAAAGUCUGUGUGUGUGUGUGUGUGUGUGUGUGUGUAAAUGAAUGUAUAUGGGAAGGGAGAGGCAUGGGGUGGUCAACGCUCAGGCAUGGGGAGGCUCGCGAUGGUCCUUUUACUUCCUAGAUCUUCCUCCCUGGGCAAAGGCAGAUCGGAUGAGGGUUCAACUCUGAAGCUGGGGUCUUUCCCGGGCAAGUGGAGGGUGGGAAAGAAGGUGACCUGAGAGCGUAGUCACAUGUGAAGCGGCGCAGGCUCUGGGGUGGCGAUCCUGGAGGGCCUUGGCCUCUUGAAGGGCUGAGAGUCCGGCUGGAUAAGGAGGAGGACGACCAGAGGCAGUUUUUUCGAGGGCUGUGCGGGCCUGUGAUCAGAUCCAGCGAGAGCGCGCGCGAGGAUUUCCCCCUUGCGCCGCGCGCAGCGGGGCAGAACCUGCGCUCCUCCCGGGGAUUUGGCGAGAGGUCAGUCAGUCCGCCGGGCUGUUGCAGGACACUUUCGCGCGGGGUUCCCCCUCUUCUAGCCUAUCCUCCCUACCCACCCCACCCCGCCGCCGGCCGCUCGCCACGCAAAUCAUCCGCCACGCGAAACCCCCGCGUGGCAUGUAAGCUCCCUCGGGAACAGCCAGCAGCUCAAAUGCUGGGCGAGUGGGUGGGUGGAAGGCAGAGAAACCUCUCCCGGCUUGCUAAACUUUGCCCGAUCCUCAAGAAAGACUGUUGCUCUGGUAUUGAUUUGACUGGCCUUCGGGUCCCCCUUAAAAAGAAAUAAAGUGUGCAAGGUGGGAUUGCAGCAAGUGCUCAAGCCAUACUUAAUACAGUACUUAACGCGAAGGACAUUUUUAUUGGGAUUCCAGAGGACUUUCUUUACCAGCGAGUGUGCCCAGACUUGUGGGUGUAUAGUGACCUGGGACUGGAAGUGUGUUUGGGAUGGGGGUGUACACAUUGUCUCCUGUUUUGCAGCUCUUAUUUCUCCCAUGGAAAGAAAUUAGUGUGGAUGUGUGGAGCGGGAGAGGGGUUUCUUUAGGAAUCCUACUUCUCUUAGGGUUGGGGGGGGGAAAUAACCUCCAAAGAAGGCUUGCAAGUCUCUGGCUAAAAGCAAGAGCCAUCUGGAUCCUGUUAUUGGAGCAAGCUUUUCUCUUCUUUCUUCCCUUUGCUCCAGCAUUCUUUGCUAUGUGUGUGACCAGCCAGGCAGCCUCCUCACUCUGGGUUCUUUUAGAGUAGAAAGCCUGGUGGCUGAUUUCAUUCAUCUGGCUGGCUCUGUGUGUGUGUGUGUGUAGCAGGCCCCUACCAAGUCGUCUUCAUGAAUUCAAGUGGCCCGCUGAGAGGAAAAGUUGCAGCCCUUUAAGUAAAUAAUGACUUGUUGCACUUUCAUUUUCACUAAAGCACAAGGAUGGAGGAGCAGCCUGACUAGCGCCCUCCCCCUUGCACGAGACUUGCAAAUAGUAAUGAAUUAUAAUCCUUUGCAGUUGUGGCUCUUGAGGGGAGGAAGAAAAGGAGAACCUGUGCUCCAUUUUUACUUGUUAGGUAUUUAGGACCACCUGGGGACAAGUGGCGUGUUGGAAGAUGCUUCUGAAAAGUGUAAGCUAAAGUUGUGAUUUAUUGUAGCAUCUUGGGGGGAUCUAAGUGGGAGGAGUGUUUGGAUACAGUUCUGGUAGCCCGAAAAGCCGCCUUCUCUUAGACUCAAGGUAUGAGGGAUUUCUUCCAUAAGGUGGUGUGUGUUUGUGUGUUGGCGAUACCCUGUAAAAGACUCUGGAUUUUUGCUUUGUGAUUAAUAAUAGCCUCUUAUAAAUCUGGUGGUGGUGGGUUUUGGGCACAGUUGCUUUGGCAAACCGAUCUUCAUCUUGGGAUUCAGGUGUGUGUUGUUUAUCUUCCCCUUAAGAACAUGUUCUUAGAGCAUUCUGCAGAACAAAUGUUCUGUUGUUUGGUUUCUUCAGACACUCUGAUUCCCUCCCUUUUGUUGCCUGUCACUAAAAGAGGUGCCAUUUCACAUCAUUCUGCACAAAUUGUUUGAAUUAAUGCAAGUGUGAAUUCUUACCGUUUGAAGGGGGCUAUUAGCAUAUCAAAGGUUUCUUAGCUUUCAGCUCAAUUGAGAAAACUUCAGCCUGUCUUCCAUUUGCUUCCAAAGCAGAGGCCCAAAGGGCAGUGGGGGGAUUGUAAAGGGGUAAAAGGGGGAGGUGGGCUUGGGUUAUGUUUCUGAACUUUUACUGUUUUGUAAUUAUGCCAGCGAAGAACAUAGUCUGUAUGCUGCAGGCUUUUGCAAACAGCCAAACAAUUAUAUUCUAUUGAUUAAUGGUUUGUUCUAAGGGGGGGAAAGGGUGACCUUUUUUUCCGUGGCAGCCACUGUUUCAUAGUUUCUGGUGUCUCCUAUCCUUUCUGUUAGUGGGAUUUGCAAGGCCUUUUCUUUUGGACUCACACUUUGGAUAUGGCCUGCACAUUAUUUCAUUAGGGGGCCUGAAUGGAAAAGAACUUCUAAUUACUUU